rnacentral:rRNA from 1 species
AUGAACGGCCGUCCCGCCCCCUUCAACCUGUACCGCAUAGAUCCCGCCAAGUUGUUCUACCCGGCCGGCGGCGCAUCAGCAACGGCGACGUCGUCCGAAGAAAGACCAUCAGAUCCAACGACAAUGAUGAAAUCUCGGUUACCUAGGCCGGCCAUCUCCUUCGACUGGCCCUGCGAAAAGAACCUGGCCGCGGCCGGGCAGAUCGAUUUCAUGUCCAUCGGCCGCGGCGGGAACGCCAUCGUCGCUGUGGACAACGUCGGCCGCACCAUCCUGUAUGACGCAGAGCUCCACACCAUCCGCACCAGCCUGCCCAUGAUGUCCCAACCCAUGCGGGACCCGAUCGCCAUUGCCGUCGGCGACGACGACCUGUUCGUCAUGGCGAGCAGGCCCGGCCCGCGGCCCCAGAUGGAAUGCUUCCAGGCCCUCCUCCGCGACAGCAACUCGUCCUCGUCCUUCAAGAAAUGGCGUUGGAUCUACCUCCAGCCACCGCCCUUCACCUGGCGCUGCGAAUAUGACCAUCAUCCGAUCUGCUGCUGCUGCCGCUACCACGACAGCGACGGCUUGUUGGGCACUGAGUUCCAAGACGCCUUUGCAAUCUGCGCCCACACGAUGGUCGGCGACUCGCAGAUCUGGAUAUCCACGCCAGCCGCCGGCACGUAUACCUUGGACACGGAGAGCGGCGCGUGGAGCAAGGCCGGCGACUGGGCGCUGCCGUUCAGAGGCCGCGCGGUGUACGUCCCCGAGGACGGUCUCUGGUUUGGCUUUUCGCCGGACUACGAGCAGCUCUGCGCGUUUGACCUGACCGCCAUGUCGACGGCGACGGCGCCGCCCGUGCCGCUGAUGGCGUGGGACGAUCUGGACUGGCCGGAGAGCUGGGUCCCGACGGCCGGACGUAUCGUGCCGCUGGGCUCUGGCAGGUUCUGCGUCGCCAGGUUCUUCUAUACCUGGGUGAACCAAUUGAUCACGUUCGCCAGCGGGCUCACCUAUGAUAGCCACACCACGACGAAUCUUGCGGUACUCACCGGCGUGGAGGUGGAGCGCGGUGGCGCUCACGGGCUGGGAAGGAUGGUCCGGCACAAGUCCAAGCGGUACGACCUCGGCUGCAACGUCGCCAAAGCCCUGUGA